GGGAGGGAGGGAGGGAGGAGGGGGUAGAGCGCUCCCUAAACUGUGCCCAAAGAGGAAGCCCAUGGAGGUACAGCCAGAGCCACAGGUACUCCCCCUAAACCAGAAUUGCUUCAGCUGCCGCUUCCCCCACAGGACUAGUAGACACCCACGAGGAUCUGGGGUUACCCGUGGACCUGUACUUACAGGAUCAGUUCUCCUAAGCACCUCCCAGAGUUCUGAGUCCUUUGCCUCCUCCGGGGAGCCUUCCUGAACAUACCUUUAGCACACCCUCUCACAGCCCAAGCUCAAAGGCAUUCGAGGGCUGCCUGCUUCUGGUCUUGGUCUGGUUGCUUAAUAAUGCCUUUGUGUACAAUGGACUGAGCACGCGAACUUGGCCUGGAAGACACCGCUUUCUUCCUAGUGCCUAGCCACCAGUGUGGAGUCGGGAGCUACUGUUUUACCAGCACUUAGAAGAAUGAGAGGAGCAAUGGCAUGGAGACAGCCACUCUUGCUUGUACUCGGGAACUCCUGACCCCGUGGAGAGGGCUAAGCCCCGGGAAGGAAGCAGUGGCUCUCAGGCUGAGCUCUUGAGCUCUCUGGAGAACUGGGCCCAGUGUCCUCACCUCUCCACCUGGUCCCAGCCCUGCCCUGGCCCCAGCGGAUACCUGAUGCUCCCCGGAAAGAUGCACCUCACCCAGUCCUCUCUCCUGGCCCCUAGGCCUGGCAUUGAGGCCCGAGAUCCGAUUACAGCCCCCACCCCCUGCUCCCUCGCACACAACUUGCCACAUUGUUGCUGUAGGAAAGUUAUCGAGCCCUGCAGCCCUGCACGCUGACCCCACGUUGACUCACUCACCUGGAUUGGGCCCCUGAGUCCCAGGGACUUCCUGGGUGGGGGCGGGG